CCUACGGGAGGCUGCAGUGGGGAAUCUUGGGCAAUGGGCGCAAGCCUGACCCAGCAACGCCGCGUGAGGGAAGAAGGCUUUCGGGUUGUAAACUUCUUUUCUCAGUGACGAAGCAAGUGACGGUACCUGAGGAAUCAGCCACGGUUAACUACGUGCCAGCCGCCGCGGUAAUACGUAGGUGGCAAGCGUUCGCCGGAUUUCCUGGGUGUAAAGGGCGUGUAGGCGGGACUGCAAGUCAGAUGUGAAAACCAUGGGCUAAACCUGUAGCCUGCAUUUGAAACUGUAGUUCUUGAGUACUGGAGAGGCAGACGGAAUUCCUAGUGUAGCGGUGAAAUGCGUAGAUAUGAGGAGGAACACCAGUGGCGAAGGCGGUCUGCUGGACAGCAACUGACGCUGAGGCGCGAAAGCGUGGGGAGCAAACAGGAUUAGAUACCCCAGUAGUC
rnacentral:rRNA from 1 species